CCUACGGGAGGCAGCAGUGAGGAAUAUUGGUCAAUGGGCGGAAGCCUGAACCAGCCAAGUAGCGUGCGGGAUGAAGGCCCUACGGGUCGUAAACCGCUUUUGCACGGGGAUAACACCCUCCACUUGUGGAGGUCUGCAGGUACCGUGCGAAUAAGGGCCGGCUAAUUCCGUGCCAGCAGCCGCGGUAAUACGGAAGGCCCGAGCGUUAUCCGGAUUUAUUGGGUUUAAAGGGUGCGCAGGCGGAAGAUCAAGGCAGCGGUAAAAUUGAGAGGCUCAACCUCUUCGAGCCGGUGAAACUGGGUUUCUUUAGUGAGUGAGAAGUAUGCGGAAGGCGUGGUGGAGCGGUGAAAGGCAUAGAUAACACGCAGAAAUCCGAUUGCGAAGG
rnacentral:rRNA from 1 species